rnacentral:rRNA from 1 species
UACAGAGGGUGCGAGCGUUGUCCGGAAUCACUGGGCGUAAAGGGCGCGUAGGCGGUCCGGUAAGCGUGUGGUGAAAGCUCGGGGCUCAACCCCGAGUCGGCCAUGCGAACUGCGGGACUGGAGCAUGUCAGAGGCAGGCGGAAUUCCGGGUGUAGCGGUGGAAUGCGUAGAGAUCCGGAAGAACACCGGUGGCGAAGGCGGCGCUCUGGGCCGGUACUGACGCUGAGGAGCGAAGCGUGGGUAGCAAACAGG